CGGCUCUUCACCUGGUAGACUUG
rnacentral:miRNA from 1 species